rnacentral:rRNA from 1 species
CUUUCAACAACGGAUCUCUUGGUUCCAGCAUCGAUGAAGAACGCAGCGAAAUGCGAUAAGUAAUGUGAAUUGCAGAAUUCAGUGAAUCAUCGAAUCUUUGAACGCACAUUGCGCCCCUCGGUAUUCCGGGGGGCAUGUCUGUUCGAGCGUCA